rnacentral:rRNA from 1 species
GAUGAACGCUAGCGGCAGGCCUAAUACAUGCAAGUCGAACGGUGUCUUCGGACAUAGUGGCGCACGGGUGCGUAACACGUAUGCAACCUACCUUAAAGUGGGGGAUAGCCUUUCGAAAGGGAGAUUAAUACCGCAUAAGACAGUAGCUGGGCAUCCAGCAGCUGUUAAAGAUUUAUCGAUGUCAGCUGGGCAUGCGUCCAAUUAGCUAGUUGGUGAGGUAACGGCUCACCAAGGCAAUGAUUGGUAGGGGAACUGAGAGGUCAAUCCCCCACAAUGGCGCUGGGAUACGGGCCAGACUCCUACGGGAGGCGGCAGGAGAGAAUAUUGGGCAAUGGACGCAAGUCUGACCCAGCCAUGCCGCGUGCAGGAUGAAGGCGUUAUGCGUUGUAAACUGCUUUUAUACAGGAAGAAACGACUCUUGCGAGAGGCAUUGACGGUACUGUAUGAAUAAGCACCGGCUAACUCCGUGCCAGCAGCCGCCGUAAUAC